UAGGGAAUCCUCCACAAUGGACGCAAGUCUGAUGGAGCAACGCCGCGUGAGUGAAGAAGGUCUUCGGAUCGUAAAGCUCUGUUGUUGGUGAAGAAGGAUAGAGGCAGUAACUGGUCUUUAUUUGACGGUAAUCAACCAGAAAGUCACGGCUAACUACGUGCCAGCAGCCGCGGUAAUACGUAGGUGGCAAGCGUUGUCCGGAUUUAUUGGGCGUAAAGCGAGCGCAGGCGGAAUGAUAAGUCUGAUGUGAAAGCCCACGGCUCAACCGUGGAACUGCAUCGGAAACUGUCAUUCUUGAGUGCAGAAGAGGAGAGUGGAACUCCAUGUGUAGCGGUGGAAUGCGUAGAUAUAUGGAAGAACACCAGUGGCGAAGGCGGCUCUCUGGUCUGCAACUGACGCUGAGGCUCGAAAGCAUGGGUAGCGAACAGGAUUAGAUACCCUGGUAGUCCAUGCCGUAAACGAUGAGCGCUAGGUGUUGGGGACUUUCCGGUCCUCAGUGCCGCAGCAAACGCAUUAAGCGCUCCGCCUGGGGAGUACGACCGCAAGGUUGAAAC
rnacentral:rRNA from 1 species